GCUGGGCAUGGUGGCACAUGCCUGUAAUCCCAGCAGCUUGGGAGGCCAAGACAGGAGGAUCGUGAUUUCAAAGCCAGCCUCAGCAAAAGCAAGGCACUAAGCAACUCAGUGAGACCCUGACUCCA
rnacentral:sRNA from 1 species